rnacentral:rRNA from 1 species
GAUGAACGCUGGCGGCGUGCCUAAUACAUGCAAGUCGAGCGAACGGACGAGAAGCUUGCUUUUCUGAUGUUAGCGGCGGACGGGUGAGUAACACGUGGAUAACCUACCUAUAAGACUGGGAUAACUUCGGGAAACCGGAGCUAAUACCGGAUAAUAUUUUGAACCGCAUGGUUCAAAAGUGAAAGACGGUCUUGCUGUCACUUAUAGAUGGAUCCGCGCUGCAUUAGCUAGUUGGUAAGGUAACGGCUUACCAAGGCAACGAUGCAUAGCCGACCUGAGAGGGGAAUCGCCACAACGGGACUGGAACACGGGCCCAGCCCCCUACGGGAGCAAGCGGUGGGGAAUUUUCCGCAAGGGCGAAAACCCGACGGAGGCAAGCCGCGGGGAGGAAGAAAGGUUUUGGGUUCGAAAAACCUUUUUUUAGGGAAAAAAAAUAUUUGGAAAAAACCGGGAACAUCUGACCGGAACCUAAUAAAAAAGCCACGCUAAACUCCGG